rnacentral:rRNA from 1 species
AACGAACGCUGGCGGCAGGCCUAACACAUGCAAGUCGAACGAGAGCACCGGGUCUGGUGGCGCACGGGGGCGGAGCGCGGGGGAACCGGCCCGUAGGGUUGGAAUACCUCCCCGUCGGGGGUGCUAAGAUCGGAUAAGUUCUUCGACCAAAAGAUAUGUCGGUGUGGGAUGUGCUCGCGGUCGAUUAGCUUGUUGGUGGGGUAAGGGCCGACCAUGGCGUUGACGGGUAGCCGGCCGUAGAGGAAGUUCGGCCACAUUGGGACUGAGAUACGGCCCAGACUCCUACGGGAGGCAGCAGUGGGGAAUAUUGCACAAUGGGCGCAAGCCUGAUGCAGCGACGCCGCGUGGGGGAUGACGGCCUUCGGGUUGUAAACUCCUUUCGCUAGGGACGAAGCGCGAGUGACGGUACCUGGAGAAGAAGCACCGGCUAACUACGUG